rnacentral:rRNA from 1 species
UACGUAGGGUGCGAGCGUUUGUCCGGAAUUAUUGGGCGUAAAGGGCUCGUAGGCGGUUUGUCGCGUCGGGAGUGAAAACCAGGUGCUUAACACCUGGCUUGCUUUCGAUACGGGCAGACUAGAGGCAUGCAGGGGAGAACGGAAUUCCUGGUGUAGCGGUGAAAUGCGCAGAUAUCAGGAGGAACACCGGUGGCGAAGGCGGUUCUCUGGGCAUGUCCUGACGCUGAGGAGCGAAAGUGUGGGGAGCGAACAGG